rnacentral:rRNA from 1 species
GGGUUGUGAGGUUAAGCGACUAAGCGUACACGGUGGAUGCCCUGGCAGUCAGAGGCGAUGAAGGACGUGCUAAUCUGCGAUAAGCGUCGGUAAGGUGAUAUGAACCGUUAUAACCGGCGAUUUCCGAAUGGGGAAACCCAGUGUGAUUUGUCACACUAUCAUUAACUGAAUCCAUAGGUUAAUGAGGCGAACCGGGGGAACUGAAACAUCUAAGUACCCCGAGGAAAAGAAAUCAACCGAGAUUCCCCCAGUAGCGGCGAGCGAACGGGGAGGAGCCCAGAGCCUGAAUCAGUGUGUGUGUUAGUGGAAGCGUCUGGAAAGGCGCGCGAUACAGGGUGACAGCCCCG